rnacentral:lncRNA from 1 species
AAGAUCAAGGCUAACAGACCAAAACACUAAUCACUGGCAUCGACCUUAUGGGACAUGCAUAGGCAGCUGGACUGAAAGAUCAUUUGCUGUCUACAUGUGUUUUUAAUCUCCAGAGAUUCCAUCACUCCCAACCGGCUGAAACAAGUUGAGAAAACCAUGCACACUAGUGAGAGUGGAUGUCCCAAGCACAAAGAGAACAUGGAAAGUAUGUUGAAUCCAGGCUGAUUUUAAUAUCAGCUCUGAGAAGCCUUCCCUAUUUCCCAAGAUAGAACGAACUGCUCCACAUCUGUGAUUCCUGGCAACAUCAUCUCUGUUGGAGAAGUGGCC